rnacentral:lncRNA from 1 species
AGGGCAUCUAGCCCCAAGGCAGAGGGUGGAGGGGCAGGGAGGACAAUCUAGAGCAAGUGACAUCUCAAGUGGCCUGAACGAUGGCAGGAGCCAGCUAAAUCAAGGGACACUAAAAGGAGAAAGUGUCACACCUUCAAGAAACUAAAAACCACUCAAUGAAAGGGAAGGAUGAGCUGUGUGAGGUCGGAGCGGCAAGGCAAGCAGAGGCUGGAUCCAACUGGCUUGGCUCUGGACCUUAAGACACAGGCCUCAGCACCUGCUGUUCCUGUGCCACUGUGCAAAUAGGAAGCCUUCCAGGGCACCAGGCUGCCAAUGUCCUGAUGCAAAAGAUGGAACUGGGAGCUUAGAGGAAAGUUCCCAGACCUACUGAUUGGAAUCCAAGUCCCUUCUGUGCUGCUGCAACAGAAUACCUGAGACAGGGUAAUUUAUGAUGAAUAGAAAUUUGUUUCUCAGAGUUCUAGAGCCUGGAAAGUCCAAGA